rnacentral:rRNA from 1 species
CCUACGGGAGGCAGCAGUGGGGAAUAUUGCACAAUGGGCGAAAGCCUGACGCAGCGACGCCGCGUGAGGGAUGAAGGUCUUCGGAUCGUAAACCACUGUCAGCAGGGAAGAACGUGUACUGUUCUAUUCAGCAGUGAAUUGACGGUACCUACAAAGGAAGCACCGGCUAACUCCGUGCCAGCAGCCGCGGUAAUACGGAGGGUGCGAGCGUUAAUCGGAAUUACUGGGCGUAAAGCGCACGUAGGCGGUAUGUCAAGUCAAGUGUGAAAUCCCCGCGCUGAACGUGGGAACUGCCUUUGAAACUGGUCAGCUAGAGUGUGUGAGAGGAUAGUAGAAUUCCAGGUGUAGGAGUGAAAUGCGUAGAUAUGUGGAGGAACAUCAGUGGCGAAGGCGACUAUCUGGUACAUAACUGACGCUGAGGAGCGAAAGCGUGGGUAGCAAACAGGAUUAGAUACCCGAGUAGUC